rnacentral:rRNA from 1 species
UGCCAGCCGCCGCGGUAAUACGGAGGGUGCGAGCGUUAAUCGGAAUUACUGGGCGUAAAGCGCAUGCAGGCGGUUGAUUAAGCGAGAUGUGAAAGCCCCGGGCUUAACCUGGGAACUGCAUUUCGAACUGGUCAACUAGAGUCUUGUAGAGGGGGGUAGAAUCUCAGGUGUAGCGGUGAAAUGCGUAGAGAUCUGAAGGAAUACCAGUGGCGAAGGCGGCCCCCUGGCUCGACACUGACACUGAGGCGCGAAAGCGUGGGGAGCAAACAGGAUUAGAUA